CAAAAAGUGAUGCGUAACCAAACAGUUAAUGAAUAUUCAUGAUAUCUCUCUUUGUAUUCGUACUGUCUGAUUUUG
rnacentral:snoRNA from 1 species